AGUGGAGGUGGGAGCAGGCAGGGGGGUCUUAGAGCCAUUUCCAGUAUUUUGAAAUAGCCCGGGGAAAAAGCAUAUACAGCUCACAGAAACCAAAAGCCAUCUUUUCCUCCUCCUCCUUCCUUCUCCUCCCCUUCUCUUCCCUGUCUUCCUCAUCUCUCUUCUUUUUCCCUUCUUCUCCUCUUCUGCCUCCUCUUCCUCAUCCUUCUUUUCCUCCUCCAUUUCUUCCUCCUCCUCCUUCCCAGUUAGCAGAAGCCAGGUUGUAAGGUCACCAUCCAUUCCCAUGCACAUCCCUCAGGUCUCAGGCUGCAGCCUGGUUUUCUUGGUGAAAUUGUAAAGGGCAAGAACGAGGAGCCCACUCAUCGCCCCAACCCUGCUCCUUCACUCCUGCACAGACCCCUCCCCACCAAGGAGGAAAAGAGGGAGUUGGCUCACGCCAACAGGAAUUGGCCCCUAAAAUUUUUGUUGUCUCGAUCCAGGUGUAGGCCUUGUCCAGCACAGCACUCCUUAACAUAAGAAAUGGCAAUAUUAAUAAGGGCAGCAGCUCAGGGGGUUGUCUUUACUAACGUGCUCAAUACCAUACUAGGCACCUGCCAUGCAUAUGCUGCUCACAAUGAUUCUGUGAGUAAGCAACAGCAUCCUUAUCUUACAGGGGAGGACGCUGGGUGUCCAAGAGCAGAAGUCGUGCCCAAGGUCACACAGCAAGGAGUACCAGACCCAUGACUCACAGCCCAGGGUUCCAAGCAGGGCUGCCCUGUGGCUUUCCCCAGGCUCAUCCCCAAAGUGGCUCAGAAUCUGGUCCACUCCCCCUGCUGGUCCUUGACUUGUCCAUUUUAGACGCUCUGGAUUGAUUCCCCACUUUCUAAGGUGAGAACUUAACUUGGACGUCACUAUCUGCAUGCAUGCAGCUUCCCCUCCCCAGGCCCCCAGUGAAGGAGGGGUGCGUUUUCAGUUGGAGUCAAGAUAGACCUGCUGGCUGCCAGCUCUGCUCCAGAAUGUCAACUCCUCUGCAGUUUUGUUCUUCCCCUUCUCCUUCCUCUCUCCUAGAAAGCCUGUUUUUGCCUUUGCUCACUGACAAUGGUCUAAUGGCUCUCACAGUAAGUAAACUCUUUUACAGAAGGAAUAAUUCCACAUCUCCACCUUAUUCGUUGACUCAGAUGGCUAAUUUAUUUAUGACAAUAUAAAUAUUGCCCACAGCUGAGCUGCUGUACAUGUCCUAUGAUUACCUUUCUUUUCCUUUCUUUUUUUUCUUUCUUUCUUUUUUUUGGGGGGGAGGGAGACCAAGUCUCACUCUGUGGCCCAGGCUGGAGUGCAGUGGCACAAUCUUAGCUUGCUGCAACCUCUGUCUCCUGGUUUCAAGUGAUUCUCCUGCCUCAGCUUCUCAAGUAGCUGAGAUUACAGGCAUGCACCACCACACCCAGCUAAUUUUUGUAUUUUCAGUGAAGACAGAGUUUCACCAUAUUGGCCAGGCUGGUCUCGAACUCCUGACCUCAAAUGAUCCACCUGCCUUGGUCUCCCAAAGUGACUGGAUAACAGGCAUGAGCCACCACACCUGGCCUACCUUUCUUUUCUCAGUAAUGUCCUUUGUUUCCCUGGAGUUGGUAACUCCUCUGUUUUCCAUGCAGGUAAUUCAUCUCCAGCUCUGGGACAAACCCACCCUGUCAGUUGGUCAGACAUCCUCAGUUAUCACUUCUGUAUUUUCACUGGUGACAUUUACCCUUCUUCCAUUUUAGCUGGGACAGAGUACCCUCUAGACCUCCAAGCAGCUGUCACUGGGGAAGUCCUUCACCAUCAUGCUGAGAAUGUCCAUCUUCCCCUCUGCUGAGAGGGGUCCUGUUCUUCACUACCCGUGGUUUUUUUGGUGGCAUUACGUACAUGCACAAGCACCACUAUCUAUAUCCAAAACUUUUUUAUGGCCCCAGAAAGAAAUUCUGUACCCCAUUAAUCAAUAACGGCUGCCUGUGCUAACCUCUAUUUUACUCUCUAACUCUGUGAAUUUGCCUCUUCUACUUCCCUCAGGUAAGGGAAAUUGUACAAUAUUUGUCUCUAUAUGACUGUCUUAUUUCACUUAGCAUAAUAUCUUCAAAGUUUAUCCACAUUGUAGCAUGUAUA
rnacentral:lncRNA from 1 species